GUCUAGUGUCGAGUGGUUAGGCCACAGCGCUCUCACCACUGUGUCCUGGGUUCGAUUCCCGGACAGGAAA